AUUGAACGCUGGCGGCAGGCCUAACACAUGCAAGUCGAGCGAGCGGCGGACGGGUGAGUAAUGUCUGGGAAACUGCCUGAGGGAGGGGGAUCACUACUGGAAAAGGUAGCUAAUACCGCAUACCAUCAGAUGUGCCCAGAUGGGAUUGGCUAGUAGGUGGGGUAAUGGCGCACCUAGGCGAGGAUCCCUAGCUGGUCUGAGGGGAUGACCAGCCACACUGGAACUGAGACACGGUCCAGAAUCCUACGGGAGGCAGCAGUGGGGAAUAUUGCACAAUGGGCGCCAGCCUGCUGCAGGCAUGCCGCGUGUAUGAAGAAGGCGUUCGGGUUGUAAAGUACUUUCAGCGGGGAGGCGUGACCCGCAGAAGAAGCACCGGCUAACUCCCUGCCAGCAGCCGCGGUAAUAC
rnacentral:rRNA from 1 species